AAAAUCCUUUUCUUGGGGUUGCACUACUGUUCAAUGAGCACAUAGUGAUGGCAGUACUGCUAAUACCUGCACAACACACUCACAUCAACUAGAGCUUUGGUUUGUAUUGGUGCAAAUUUUGGAAAA